rnacentral:rRNA from 1 species
GAUGAACGCUGGCGGCGUGCCUAAUACAUGCAAGUCGAGCGAACAGACGAGGAGCUUGCUCCUCUGACGUUAGCGGCGGACGGGUGAGUAACACGUGGAUAACCUACCUAUAAGACUGGGAUAACUUCGGGAAACCGGAGCUAAUACCGGAUAAUAUAUUUAACCGCAUGGUUCAAUAGUUAAAUACGGUUUUUCUGUCUCUUAUAGAUGGAUCCGCGCCGCAUUAGCUAGUUGGUAAGGUAACGGCUUACCAAGGCGACGAUGCGUAGCCGACCUGAGAGGGUGAUCGGCCACACUGGAACUGAGACACGGUCCAGACUCCUACGGGAGGCAGCAGUAGGGAAUCUUCCGCAAUGGGCGAAAGCAUGACGGAGCAACGCCGCGUGAGUGAUGAAGGUCUUCGGAUCGUAAAACUCUGUUAUUAGGGAAGAACAAAUGUGUAAGUAACUAUGCACGUCUUGACGGUACCUAAUCAGAAAGCCACGGCUAACUACGUG